AUUGAACGCUGGCGGCAUGCUUUACACAUGCAGGUCGAACGGCAGCGGGGGCUUCGGCCUGCCGGCGAGUGGCGAACGGGUGAGUAAUGCAUCGGAACGUGCCCAUGUCGUGGGGGAUAACGUAUCGAAAGGUACGCUAAUACCGCAUACGUCCUGAGGGAGAAAGCGGGGGAUCUUCGGACCUCGCGCGAUUGGAGCGGCCGAUGUCGGAUUAGCUAGUAGGUGAGGUAAAGGCUCACCUAGGCGACGAUCCGUAGCGGGUCUGAGAGGAUGAUCCGCCACACUGGGACUGAGACACGGCCCAGACUCCUACGGGAGGCAGCAGUGGGGAAUUUUGGACAAUGGGCGCAAGCCUGAUCCAGCCAUGCCGCGUGAGUGAAGAAGGCCUUCGGGUUGUAAAGCUCUUUCGGCCGGGAAGAAAUCAUGUUCUCUAACAUAGGACAUGGAUGACGGUACCGGACUAAGAAGCACCGGCUAACUACGUGCCAGCAGCCGCGGUAACAC
rnacentral:rRNA from 1 species